GGAACCCUGACGCAGCAACGCCGCGUGGAUGAUGAAGGCCUUCGGGUCGUAAAGCCCUGUCUGGUGGGAAGAAUUGCGUCGGUGUUAAUACCGCCGAUGCUUGACGUUACUACCGGAUUAAGCACCGGCUAACUCCUUGCCAGCAGCCGCGGUAAUA
rnacentral:rRNA from 1 species